UACAGGGGUGCAAACGUUGCUCGGAAUCAUUGGGCGUAAAGCGCACGUAGGCGGUUCGUUAUGUCGGAUGUGAAAGCCCUUGGCUUAACCGAGGAAGUGCAUCCGAAACUGGCGAGCUAGAGUACGAAAGAGGAUCGCGGAAUUCCCGGUGUAGAGGUGAAAUUCGUAGAUAUCGGAAGGAACGCCCGUGGCGAAAGCGAGGUCCUGGACGUUUUCUGACGCUGAGACGCGAAAGCCAGGGGAGCGAACGGG
rnacentral:rRNA from 1 species